UACGUAGGGUGCGUGCGUUAACCGGAAUUACUGGGCGUAAAGCGUGCGCAGGUGGUUAUGUAAGCCAGAUGUGAAAUCCCCGGGCUUAACCUGGGAAUGGCAUUUGGGACUGCAUGGCUAGAGUGUGGCAGAGGGGGGUGGAAUUCCGCGUGUAGCAGUGAAAUGCGUAGAGAUGCGGAGGAACACCGAUGGCGAAGGCAGCCCCCUGGGUUAACACUGACACUCAUGCACGAAAGCGUGGGGAGCAAACAGG
rnacentral:rRNA from 1 species